GGGGGAUAUUGCACAAUGGGCGCAAGCCUGAUGCAGCGACGCCGCGUGAGGGAAGACGGUCUUCGGAUUGUAAACCUCUGUCUUCGGGGACGAUAAUGACGGUACCCGAGGAGGAAGCUCCGGCUAACUACGUGCCAGCAGCCGCGGUAAUACGUAGGGGGCUAGCGUUAUCCGGAAUUACUGGGCGUAAAGGGUGCGUAGGUGGUUUUUUAAGUCAGAAGUGAAAGGCUACGGCUCAACCGUAGUAAGCUUUUGAAACUAGAGUACUUGAGUGCAGGAGAGGAGAGUAGAAUUCCUAGUGUAGCGGUGAAAUGCGUAGAUAUUAGGAGGAAUACCAGUAGCGAAGGCGGCUCUCUGGACUGUAACUGACACUGAGGCACGAAAGCGUGGGGAGCAAAC
rnacentral:rRNA from 1 species